rnacentral:rRNA from 1 species
ACGGAAGGCAGCAGUGGGGAAUAUUGCACAAUGGGCGCAGGCCUGAUGCAGCGAUGCCGCGUGAGGGAAGAAGGUUUUCGGAUUGUAAACCUCUGUCAACAGGGACGAAAAUGACGGUACCUGUGAAGGAAGCUCCGGCUAACUACGUGCCAGCAGCCGCGGUAAUACGUAGGGAGCAAGCGUUAUCCGGAAUUACUGGGUGUAAAGGGAGUGUAGGCGGGACUGUAAGUCAGAUGUGAAAUAUGCCGGCUCAACUGGCAGACUGCAUUUGAAACUGCGGUUCUUGAGUGAAGUAGAGGUAAGCGGAAUUCCUAGUGUAGCGGUGAAGUGCGUAGAUAUUAGGAGGAACAUCAGUGGCGAAGGCGGCUUACUGGGCUUUAACUGACGCUGAGGCUCGAAAGCGUGAGGAGCAAACAGGAUUAGAUACCCUGGUA